GUUAAAUAAUGUGGCCAGGGUCCCAAAGCUAGAAAGUGUCUGGUUCAAAUUCAAGUCUUCAUGACUCCAGGCUCAUUGCUCUAUCUACUGUGCCUCUGAAGCAAAAAUAUUUUGCAUAAACACAAAUUACGUGCAAGUAAAUGCAAAGCAAUUUCAGCAAAAUGCAGUGAGGGUGGGGGUCGAUUGGGGGUCAGGAAGAGCUGAGCUGUCAUGCAGGAGAAGGCUCCUGAGCUGAGCCUCCCUGGGACCUGAGAAUUCUGGAAAGCAUGAGUGAGAAGGGAUGGCCUUCUGAAAUCAAUGUGGGAAGAGAAGAGACGGGAUCUAAAAGGAGCUUUUCGUUAUUGUUACUUUCUUAAUUCAGUAAUCCCUAGCCUUUGAUUCUCCUUAAUCUCCUGUGGUUUGAAUUAUCUCAAAGUGGGAUGCAGAAUCACAAGACACAGAUAGCUUGCCUUCACUUUAAGUUUCAAAAAUAAAGAACUGGACGGUUCUUUGGGAACUGGAGAGGGGGCCGUGUUAUAGAAUCUAGAAAAAUGGAGAAUUGGUCUGUCCACGAGGAUCUGGGUUUGAUUUCCAGCUCUGCCAUCUGUUGGUCUAUGACCUUGAGCAAGUCACUGGACCCCUCUUGGCCUUAUUUUUCUCAGUAAAAGGAGUGGGGGGAAUAAUGGUGGUGGGGGAGUAAAUGACCCCAAGGGUCCUUCCAAUUCUGAGCGUGAUACUGCAAUGUUAAGCAGAGGUCUCUUUUUGAGUCUGAGCCUCUGUUUCUUCAUUUCAGAAGACAGAGUCAUUGGGUGAGUAAUCUUCAAUUAAUGUAAAAUCCGAGUGUUCUGGUUAAUGGUGUAGUUCUGUUCUGCCCCUGAUGUUCUAAUUCUGUUAUUAAAAAUGUAAACCUCAUACAUUAUGAAUUGAGGGUUAGCUAAUUCCCUUGCCAGGAUGGCCCAUAGAGAUGUGGAAGUACAUUUCAGAACCAAUGGAGAAUGCCAAGGACACCCAUGGUGGCCACUGAUGAUGGGGAGAAGAAGAGAAGGAGCCCAUCUUUGGAGGCAGGUUUGAUUCCUUCAUUCCUAUGUUUGUCUCAGCCAUCAGUAACCAGUUAGUUUGUCUAAACAGGUCAUAGAACUCGCAUCAUAGCCAGCCACUCGAGAACAAAGGCUCCCAGAGCCUGGUG
rnacentral:lncRNA from 1 species